CAGGAGAAGCAUCUGAGACAACUCUGAGAGAGCACAUUUUCCUUGGGCCUUUGGUCAUCUUUAUAAAAUUCGGAUGAGCCUUAAGUCAAAACUUUUAUCUCAUGCAGUCUGUUUCCCAGAGCAUGUCGACUCUACAGGUCCCCAUUUACUUUAUUGAGGGGUGAAGACGACCCCAGGUCAAACCCAAACCAAACAUCUGAACUUAGAUUAGAACGACUGAUACAGUCGCACUUUAUGGGACGUCCUGAGAACACUUUCCCAACUCUGCCCCCAUCUUACAAAUCACUGUCUCCACUCAAGCAGCAGAAAUAAGGCUCGGCUUCCUGUGCUGCCGUCCCAGAGGCCUUUCUCCUGAAAUGAAUGUUUCCUGCUUAAAAUAGCAUUUGUUUGUAUCGGGUGUCUGAUGGAAGAAGAUGUUCAUACGGUCUCUUCUCACAACUCAUUACUGUGAACAACAUCACCUGCACCACAAGAAGAGAUGUCCAAACUGAAGGCAUCUCCGCUCGGCAAGUGUCCUCCACCCAAAGUGCCCUGCUUGCUAUUAUGUGUGUAACCCCGUCCAGCUGUCUUGCAUUCACACAACCCAAUCUGGACGUCUCAGCACGAAUAGCAUAGGCCCAUGACGUUUAACAGCGGAGAGGGAAAGAGACAUACGGAACAGUUUCAGAGCUCUGAUGAACAGAGAAAUAUAAAAGCUGCUGAGAUUUAUAGGCUGAAGAACGCCAGAGCAGCUUCUGAUGGGAGCAGCCUGCCCGUGACUUCUCAGAUCUCGGGAAGUUCUGGGUGGAUGAUCAAUGGCAAAGUUUGAAAUCGCUAAACAGAAACUGAUGGUUGGAGCGAUUGAAAUCGUCCCCUUUCUUGGUGUCGCAGGACUCUUAGCAUGUAAGUUCCUUUUGUUGGGAAGUGUGCCAGCUUGGCCAGUGUAGUGCCAGAAAGACUUCACUGAAGAGAGAAUGAGGAAAGUCCACCAAUAUAUACAUGGAGGAGAAAAAGAAUAACUUGUAAUAAUAAUAAAAAUGAUAAUAGCAAUUAUGUGGUUAUUAAAAUCUGAUUUGUGUUCUGCUGCAUAGAUAAUAUUCCUCUCCCUCUCUGUUUAAUCUUUCUCUGUAUAUAUUGUCCUCUUUAGCUCUCUCUCUCUCUUUCUCUCUUUCCCUCAUUCUGUUCUGCGGUCUACAUUUUGCUGUUUUUGGGGUCUUUGAUCUUUUACUGCGCUCUCUUUGCUACACGUUCCCACUCUCAAUCUUUCUCCGUCAAAAAGUUAACUGUUUUUAUCUUCCUUCCACCUUUUUUAUUCCCAUCUUCCUUCUUUUAAUGGGUCUCUCCCUUCCUGUUCUUUGGUUUGUUUUAGA